AUGAACGCUGGCGGCGUGCCUAAUACAUGCAAGUCGAGCGAACAGACGAGGAGCUUGCUCCUCUGACGUUAGCGGCGGACGGGUGAGUAACACGUGGAUAACCUACCUAUAAGACUGGGAUAACUUCGGGAAACCGGAGCUAAUACCGGAUAAUAUAUUGAACCGCAUGGUUCAAUAGUGAAAGACGGUUUUGUUGUCACUUUUAGAUGGAUCCGCGCCGCAUUAGCUAGUUGGUAAGGUAACGGCUUACCAAGGCAACGAUGCGUAGCCGACCUGAGAGGGUGAUCGGCCACACUGGAACUGAGACACGGUCCAGACUCCUACGGGAGGCAGCAGUAGGGAAUCUUCCGCAAUGGGCGAAAGCCUGACGGAGCAACGCCGCGUGAGUGAUGAAGGUCUUCGGAUCGUAAAACUCUGUUAUUAGGGAAGAACAAAUGUGUAAGUAACUAUGCACGUCUUGACAGUACCUAAUCAGAAAGCCACGGCUAACUACGUG
rnacentral:rRNA from 1 species